CCUGGCCUCCCAAAGUGCUAAGAUUACGGACAUGAGCCACCACGCCCAGCCUUUACUUUUUGUUUUUACUAAAAAUUUCCUUCGUUCUCUUCCUGCACAGUCUCUUUUACAUCUGAUUAGUCUAGUGAACUCUCUCCAGCCUGAACUAGUGACCUGACCUCUCCCCAUUCACACCAAGGCGGACCUGUGGGGGCAUUAUGGAGGCUAUCAGCUGCAGUUCUCCCGCGGCCCAUAUCACCUGCUGAAAUAACCGUGCUACAUUAGAAAGGGUGGAAGAGAAGCUUCCCAUGCUUGGUUUAUGAAUACGGCCUUGAAAAUGUCAACAGACGUAUUGUUGUCUUGUUGAGUCUGCAGCCAGGAAGGCAGAAAUCAGCCGGCAGCAGAGCAGGUGUGACUGUCCCCUACUUCAGAGGCAGUUCACUUUGAAGCUGGGAAAUCAAGGACGCUGGUACCUUCAAGGAAACAAGGAUAUAAUUAUCGCAGCACCCAAUUUGCCAGUGACCUUCCAUUCCUCAGGCCUGCCCUACUCCCUUCGCUGGCACCAGCCCAGGUCCUCACAGUCUGAGCCCUGUGUCCCAGACUGCUCAGACGGAGAAGCAACCCACUCACGCACCCUUUGAAAGCGCUCUUAAUCUCUUUCUACUACACUGCUUUUGCUGACAUAAAUCCGCCAGCCCCGGAGACCUCAGACCCCUCCACAGAGGGAGGCCAUGCAGGCCAAGUGGAGUCUGAGCAACUAAGCCCCAGAAUUUAUGCUUCCUCUCACCUGUGCCGUCUGCCUGUGGCCUCAGCUCCAGUCUGCGUUUGAAGGUUUGAACAGAACCUCCCAGCUCCUUGCCAAGUCUGCCAUCAUCACCUCCAUCAGACAAGCAGAUUUCUCAAGGCCACUGGAAGCUAAUAACAGGGACUCUUCACUUCAUUAUUAUAUUUGAAAUGUUGAAAGCAGAAGCCCAAUAAAAUGAGUUCAGAAAAACAAAAAGAGCUAUAAAUUACCGUUUGGAAGGAGUGGCUAAAGAAUCCAUCUACUCAAAAUACCCAGGGGUUAGUUCUCAGUUAUAGCAAUAAUCUAGUAUGUGGUUUCCUUUCCUUCCCUGUGCAAAAGCUUUGGCUGUGUUCUCUUAGCACGUAAUCUUUUCUGCUUCUAUGAGUCAAGUCCAGAGUCAAGAGUUAUACAACACUCCCCCCCCACACACACACCCCAACCUUGGUCCUAAGGGUCUGUGAAUUGUACAAAUUCCUUUAGACCACUAGGAAUUUAUCCUAUGUUAUCGCCAAUCGAUACUCGUUGCAAUUUAACAUUUUAUUUAUUUUCACAUAAAACUAAAAUUCUAUUUCCUUGACCUCAUAAAGACUGCCUAUGCUAAUCUGAUAUAUUUAAUGGAAAAAAACCCAGAAGCAUUAUUCUUUGUAAAAUCAGAAACAAAACUAGGGAUGCCCAUAUCACUGUUACUAUUUUAUAAUGUUUUGAAAAGUCUAGACCCGUAGUUCUCACAUGGUGGAAAUUUUGCUUCCCAUAGAACAUCCAGCAAUGGCUGGAGCCAGUUUGGGUUGUCGCAACCUUCGAGAUGGGGGUGGCCCUGACAUGUAGUGGGUAGAGGCCAGGGAUGCUACUAAACACCCUGCCAUGCACGGGACAGGCCCCCACAACAAAGUGUCAGUAGUGCCAAGGCUGGGAAACCCUGCUCUAUACAAUGCAAAAAAACAUAAACAUAAGAGGGAUAAAGUUUAAAAAAUACCUACUUUUCAUGUCAUCAAUUGUGAAUAACAUGCAUCACCUAGAAAAACAAAACCAAACCAUUAAAUAAACAUUAUUAAAAUUCAUACAAUAGUAAAUAAGGUAGAUGGAUAAAAUAUUUUCAAUUAUGGGACAGCCUAUGAGUCUUUAAUAUCCCUAUGGAUUUAUUUGUGUAUUCUACAAAAUUUUCUGAGAACAAAAGGAUUAGUUUUCCAAGAGAAUACUUAGGAGGUAAUAAGAUUACAGUUAUAAAGUUACAGGUUAUAGUUAUACAAAGUUUAUAAAUUAUUUCAAAACUAUGGAAACAAUUAAAUUUUAAUGACCUUAGAGUAUAAUACUGUAAUACAAAACAUUAUAGGAAACCCAAAUAGACAUUUCUGGGAGAAGAGAUUAGAUGGAGAAGGGGUGUGGUGGUUAAUUUCAUGUGUCCGCUGGACUGGGCUAAGGGAUGCCCAGAUAUCGGGUGAAAUACUAUCUCUGGGUAUGUCCAUGAGGGUGUUUCUGGAAGAGUUUAGAGUUGAAUUGGUGGACUUCGUGAAGGUCACCUUCACCAACAUGACUGGGCAUCAUCCAGCCCACUGAGGGCCUGAGUAGAACAAAAAGGAGACUUGCUUCCUGUCUGAGCUGGGACUUCCAUCUUCUGCCCUCACACACCGGUGCUUCUGGCUCUGAGGCCUUUGAACUAGGACUGAAUUACGCCACCAGCUUUCCUGGUUCUCCAGCUUGCAGAAGGCAGAUCAUGGAACAUCCACAAUCCACAUGAGCUAAUUCCAACAACAAAUCUGUCUCUGUCUCUACCUAUCCUGUCCGUUCUGUGUCUCUGGAGAACCCUGACUAACACAGGGUGGGCGUUGGCCAGGGAGGCAACUUUAGAAGGGGUGGCCAGUGAAGGCACCACUGAGAAGGUCACAAGUAAAGUUGUGACAGAAGUAAGAGAGCCAGCCAGGUGUGCAUCAGGGGAGAGAACCUUCCAGGCAGAGGGGAGGGCAGGCACAGAGGCUCUGAGGCAGGUGUGUGCCUGCUAAGGUGUCUGAGGAGCAGCAGAGCCCAGCGUGGCAGAAGUGGGAUGAAUGAGGUGAGUGGGAAGAAAAGCAGGCAGGUAAUGGGUCCCAAGUGCCUGUGUCUCCAACGGUCUAGUGAGGAUACUUCUCGGGGAGACGGGAAACAACUGGAAGGUUCUGACAUGAUCUGCUUGCUGUGUCGGUUAUAGGCUGAAGGGAGAGGGAAAAGGGGAUGGCAAUGAGAGUAGUUACAAAGGGUUGUAUUGGCUUGGAUAUACUUCAAAGGUAUAGCAACAGAACUUCCCAGCAGAUUGGACAGGGUGUGUGAGGAAAAAAAAAUAAAAGGAAAAAAUAGGAGACAAGAGGAACACCAAGGUUUCUGGCUCCCGUUGAUGCAAGAAGGGAGCUGUCACUCACAGAGGUGUGAGACAUCUGUUAGACAUCCAGAAGGGACGGAGCAACCAGGCUGCAGGGAUCAGUAGGUCUCAAGGCCCGUGCUCUGGCUAAUAUCUGCAGAACUUGAAAUUUGAGGAUUUCUACCUGCUUAUAGGGUAGGAGGAAGAGGUUUCCAGAAGUAACAAGGAUGAAAAAAAAAUUGAAAAUCUCAAAACCUCAUUUCAGCUAUGACUUUUAAACUUCUGUUCCUCCCAAGCUUUUUCUGAUUAUCUGGGCCCCUUGCCUACCCUAAUUGCUCCCCACUCUUACCCCAAAUACAAUCUAUGUAUGCUCAAGUUGGUUCUGCCAUGGUAGCAAUAGGGCCAUCAACUCCCAAUGGGACUGAAUGUACCUUGCACAAUAAACUUUACAUAACAGUA